rnacentral:rRNA from 1 species
GACGAACGCUGGCGGCGUGCUUAACACAUGCAAGUCGAACGGAAAGGCCCUGCUUUUGUGGGGUGCUCGAGUGGCGAACGGGUGAGUAACACGUGAGUAACCUGCCCUUGACUUUGGGAUAACUUCAGGAAACUGGGGCUAAUACCGGAUAGGAGCUCCUGCUGCAUGGUGGGGGUUGGAAAGUUUCGGCGGUUGGGGAUGGACUCGCGGCUUAUCAGCUUGUUGGUGGGGUAGUGGCUUACCAAGGCUUUGACGGGUAGCCGGCCUGAGAGGGUGAACGGCCACAUUGGGACUGAGAUACGGCCCAGACUCCUACGGGAGGCAGCGGUGGAGAGUAUUGCACAGUGGGCGGGAGCCUGAUGCGGCAACGCCGCGUGCGGGAUGACGGCCUUCGGGUUGUAAACCGCUUUCGCCUGUGACGAAGCGUGAGUGACGGUAAUGGGUAAAGAAGCACCGGCUAACUACGUG